GAUGCUAAUACCGGAUAACAACAGAUGAUGCCUAUCAACUGUUUAAAAGAUGGUUCUGCUAUCACUCUUGGAUGGACCCGCGGUGCAUUAGCUAGUUGGUAGGGUAACAGCCUACCAAGGCGAUGAUGCAUAGCCGAGUUGAGAGACUGAUCGGCCACAUUGGGACUGAGACACGGCCCAAACUCCUACGGGAGGCAGCAGCC
rnacentral:rRNA from 1 species